rnacentral:sRNA from 1 species
GGGAAGCUGAAUUCUGAUCUCUUCCAUCGCUAGUCUUUGACUGUGGAGCUAGAGAAGAACGUUACGGGUGACAGGCUACAAAAGCUCAAAUCUUGUCUGCUUUCUCCUCUGCCAGGCGUUGACCCGGACGACACCUAUAAUGAGACCCCCUACGAGAAAGGUUUCUGCUUUGUCUCAUACCUGGCCCACUUGGUGGGUGAUCAGGAUCAGUUUGACAGUUUUCUCAAGGCCUAUGUGCAUGAAUUCAAAUUCCGAAGCAUCUUAGCCGAUGACUUUCUGGACUUCUACUUGGAAUAUUUCCCUGAGCUUAAGAAAAAGAGAGUGGAUAUCAUUCCAGGUUUUGAGUUUGAUCGAUGGCUGAAUACCCCUGGCUGGCCCCCGUACCUCCCUGAUCUCUCCCCUGGGGACUCACUCAUGAAGCCUGCUGAAGAGCUAGCCCAACUGUGGGCA